rnacentral:misc_RNA from 1 species
GAUGAAGAACGUAGCGAAAUGCGAUAAGUAAUGUGAAUUGCAGAAUUCAGUGAAUCAUCGAAUCUUUGAACGCACAUUGCGCCCGCCAGUAUUCUGGCGGGCAUGCCUGUUCGAGCGUCAUUUCAACCAUCAAGCCCCAGGCUUGUGUUGUGGACCUGCGGCUGCCGCAGGCCCUGAAAACCAGUGGCGGGCUCGCUGUCACACCGGGCGUAGUAGAUUUUAUCUCGCUCAGGGCGUGCUGCGGGUCCCGGCCGUUAAAAGCCUUUUUUUACCCAAGGUUGACCUCGGAUCAGGUAGGAAGACCCGCUGAACUUAAGCAUAUCAAUAAGCGGAGGA